UUCGCGUAUUCUGAAACUGUCGGUAGGAUGCUGACAGGAACAGGAAAGGCCCAAGGAUUGGUCAUCUUCAGGAAGAAGAUUCGAUGGUUCAGGAUGACUCAUCGGCAUGGAUCGCAAAGGGACACCCGCCAAGAUGGCGAUGUAAUGGAAUGCGCUGAAGGACUCAGCAGACUAUCAGGGAAUAGAUGCAGGGAGCACAUUGAGUAGCUGGAUUGCUGCAAGUAAGAACCGAAACCCCAUCAAGCCUCGCUUGAUG
rnacentral:sRNA from 1 species